AUUGAACGCUGGCGGAAUGCUUUACACAUGCAAGUCGAACGGCAGCACGGGGGCAGCCCUGGUUGCGAGUGGCGAACGGGUGAGUAAUACAUCGGAACGUGCCCGGUCGUGGGGGAUAACGUAGCGACAGUUACGCUAAUACCGCAUACGAUCUGAGGAUGAAAGCGGGGGACCUUCGGGCCUCGCGCGAUCGGAGCGGCCGAUGUCAGAUUAGGUAGUUGGUGGGGUAAAGGCCUACCAAGCCGACGAUCUGUAGCUGGUCUGAGAGGACGACCAGCCACACUGGGACUGAGACACGGCCCAGACUCCUACGGGAGGCAGCAGUGGGGAAUUUUGGACAAUGGGCGCAAGCCUGAUCCAGCCAUUCCGCGUGCAGGACGAAGGCCUUCGGGUUGUAAACUGCUUUUGUACGGAACGAAAAGGCUCUGGCUAAUACCUGGGGCUCAUGACGGUACCGUAAGAAUAAGCACCGGCUAACUACGUG
rnacentral:rRNA from 1 species